ACAAGCGGUGGAGUAUGUGGUUUAAUUCGACGCAACGCGCAGAACCUUACCUAGACUUGACAUCCCGGGAUUUUCUGGAAACAGAGAAGUGCUUUAGCAAUAAAGAACCCGGUGACAGGUGCUGCAUGGCUGUCGUCAGCUCGUGUCGUGAGAUGUUGGGUUAAGUCCCGCAACGAGCGCAACCCUCGCCUUUAGUUGCCAGCAUUCAGUUGGGCACUUUAAAGAGACUGCCGGUGUUAAACCGGAGGAAGUGGGAUGACGUCAAGUCCUCAUGGCCUUUAUGCUUAGGGCUACACACGUGCUACAAUGGGUGGUACAAAGAGAAGCCAACUCGCGAGAGCGCGCCAAUCUCAAAAAGCCAUCCUCAGUUCGGAUUGGAGUCUGCAACUCGACUCCAUGAAGUUGGAAUCGCUAGUAAUCGCGGAUCAGCAUGCCCGCGGUCGAAUACGUUCCCGGGCCUU
rnacentral:rRNA from 1 species